UCCCACUCAUAAUGGUCAUGGAGAGUUUAUAUAUUUCCAUGUUUAUGACUAUUUUGUCAUGUGUCCAGUCAGAUAUUAUCUUGACCCAAAAAAGCAGUGAAGUUAAAACUCCUGGAGAGUCUCUGCGACUGACCUGUCAAAGUUCAGGGCAGGACAGUAAUGGAAGAACCAUUGCUGCUUAUGGCUUGAGCUGGGUUCGACAAGAGCCUGGAAAAGGACUUGAAUGGCUGGCUGCUAUUACCCCUGACAGCAGCACUACACACUACACCAGCAGAAUUGAAGGACGAUUUACAAUCUCCAGAGACAAUUCAAAACAGGCUCUGUAUUUGGACAUGAGCAGCCUCAAAACCGAUGACACAGCCAAAUAUUAUUGUGCCGUACGCACAAUGAGGAACUUCUUGCUAUUGCUUAUAUAA